rnacentral:tRNA from 1 species
GCCUUCGUGGCGUAACUGUUAGCACAUUCGGCGCAUAUUCGGAAGGUCCAGGUUCAAAGCCCGGCGAAGGCA